UGAAAAGGGCAGGACCGCAGGUGU
rnacentral:misc_RNA from 1 species